AGUGAACGCUGGCGGCAGGCCUAACACAUGCAAGUCGAGCGGACAGCGGGUCCCCGCGAGGGGAUGCCGGCGAGCGGCGGACGGGUGAGGAACACAUCGGAAUCUGCCUGGUUGUGGGGGAUAACGUAGGGAAACUUACGCUAAUACCGCAUGCGACCCUGAGUCGACGGACUGGGGGUGAAAGUGAGGGACCUUCGGGCCUCACGCGACCAGAUGAGCCGAUGUCGGAUUAGCUAGUUGGCGGGGUAACGGCCCGCCAAGGCGACGAUCCGUAGCUGGUCUGAGAGGAUGAUCAGCCACACUGGGACUGAGACACGGGCCCAGACUCCUACGGGAGGCAGCAGGUGGGGAAUCUUGG
rnacentral:rRNA from 1 species